rnacentral:rRNA from 1 species
AGUGAAUGCUUGUAAUAUACUUAACACAUGCAAGUUGAACGUGCAACUAUUGUUGUGAGUGGCGUACGGGUGAGUAAUGCAGAGGAACAGAUUUUGCAGUAAGGUAUUAUGUUUAUGCAGAAAUUCCUUAUACUUAAAGAUUAUGAUCGCUGUAAAAUUGGCCUUUGUAAGAUUAGGUAGUAGGUGAGGUAAUAGCUCACCUAGCCGAAGAUCUUUAACUGGCUGAGAGGAUGAUCAGUCACACCGGAACUGAAAUAAGGUUCGGACUCCCUUGGGAGGCAGCAGUGAGGAAUAUUGGACAAUGUGCGAAAGCAUGAUCCUGUAAUAUUACUUGAGUGAAGACGUUAAUUUUAUGUAAAGCUCUUUAACUAAGAAAGGAUUAUGACGUUAUCUAGUGAAUAGUCCUGCUAACUUCGUGCCAGCCGCCGCAGUAAU